AUAAUAGUGUAUGGGUAAGAUUUAAUUUUGUUUUACUUUUUUAUUUAUUAAUAACCAAUCAAUAAUUAAAUUAUUAAUUCAGGACAUGAUCAAAUCAGAAGAGAAUCAUGAUCCAAUAAUAAUAUACUACUAUUAUUACUAUUAUCAUUCUAGUAAUUUUUGGUAGAUUAAUUUGGUUAAGCCAAUUUAGAAGUUCCACAUGGACUAAAGGACAAAAAAUAAAAGGGCAACACGAUUUCGCAGAUGGAGUGAGUAGUCUCAUUCACACCAUUAUUUAGUAAAGAAGACUAAUGUGAUAUUGUAGAUGGUCAAUUUUGGGCCAAUGAUAGAAGGAAAUCUAUCAAUGAUGAGAAGGAUAUGUGAAGGAAGCAUCAAACGGGUAGGAUUAAGGAUGGUAAUGCAUCUGGUCAAGUUUGAGCUUAGCCAAGCUCUUUCUGAGCUCACACGGUGCUUUCUCUCUUACCUUAAAUAUUUUGUUUUAUUUGUCGAAUUUACUUUGUUUGUCAAUGGUAUAAAACAAAAUUACUUUAUUCUAUAAUCAUUGUAUGUCCAUAAUUUUUCAUUAAAAAAAAUUCAUGUUUUGUACAAAUAAAAUCAUCAUUAUUUUAUUAUAAUUAAUAAAAUAAUAAUGAUGAUGAUGAUGAUAUCUAUAGUAAAAAUACUUAUCCUUUAUUUUAUUAGUUGAACAAAUGCAUAAUUAUAACAAAGAAUAUUGUCAAAACUUGUAAAAAUUCACUCCAACUAUAAAAUAAAGUAAGCAUAUCAAUAGGAGUACAAUUCAUUUUGAUUUUGAUAACUUAAAUAAACAACUUAUUCUGAUUACGAAUUCAGUUUAUUUUAAAUCUGGUCCAUCCUAAUUUCUUCGCAUCUUGAUUUCAGAAAAAUAAAUGCACCAUUAGUUUGGCUUUUGUUGCCCUCAACUUUAAUUUAACGCUCAUUUAAUAUACAAAGUAGUCCUUAUUUGGUCUUGUUUUUAACUCGAGAGGUAUUUACUUGUAGAUCAAAUUAUAAAUUAGUUAGAAAAGCGUUCAGUGCCGCGGAUGCCAUAUGCGAGAAGAUUGAGUUUUGCCUACUCUAAACGUAACAUGAGUAAGAAAAUAGCCAUAAAUUCUUGUAUAAAUUUAUUUUCUACAAACUGACGUGACAUGAUAAAAUUGAUUGAAUUAAAUAUCUUUUGACCCACAUGAUUUAUUUUUAUUAUUUUAUAUUUUUAUUUAACCAAUAAAUUAAUACUAAAUUAAUUUAUAUAAGAUAAAUUUAUACAAUAAUUUAUAACUAUAUCAUCAUUCAACGUAACAUAAUUAAAGAGGAGCGUCAAACCGUGAACAAGAGCUUCGAAAGUAGGCUGGGACAUGGGAUGCUGUUGGAUUGCCUAUUAGCUUAGAAUGACUGAUGUUAUCGAUCACUAUCACAUGGCUCUUAGCCAAGUCUCUUGCUUUUGCGUAUUCCAAAAAAAAAAGUCUCUUGCUUUUGCGUAUUCCAAAAAAAAAAAGUCUCUUGCUUUUGCGAUUAGUGGGUCUCUGCCCUCCCUCCAUUCCACGUAGCUCUUUUGUUUUCUUUCUUCUUUCAUUUUCUUUAACGCAAACAUGGUUUGGAAUCUUUGUGUAAAGUUGACUGUCAUCAUACCAACUACAUCUAAUUUCUAAAGAUGGUUGAACAUGUCAAAAAUGGUGUGAUGAAAUAGAGUAAUAAUUUGAACGAAUAGAAAGGUACAUCAGUUGCUUUGGUGCAAGUUUUCCAAUUGGCUAAUUGAAUUAACAAAUAACAUGACAAAGUAAUUCAAUUAAAGUUUUAAAAUUUGUGUUAGAUGAUCGUGAUUCUAGUCGCUUGCUAUCAUCAUAAAACGCUAUUUUAUAUGGGUUGUUUAGCUCUGGACUUAAAUAUCAGUUUCUUUUUUAUUGUGAUGCUUAUAGCAUCGCCAAAAGCCUUUUUAA
rnacentral:lncRNA from 1 species